rnacentral:rRNA from 1 species
AGUGAACGCUGGCGGUAGGCCUAACACAUGCAAGUCGAACGGCAGCACAGUAAGAGCUUGCUCUUACGGGUGGCGAGUGGCGGACGGGUGAGGAAUACAUCGGAAUCUACUUUUUCGUGGGGGAUAACGUAGGGAAACUUACGCUAAUACCGCAUACGACCUACGGGUGAAAGCAGGGGAUCUUCGGACCUUGCGCGAUUGAAUGAGCCGAUGUCGGAUUAGCUAGUUGGCGGGGUAAAGGCCCACCAAGGCGACGAUCCGUAGCUGGUCUGAGAGGAUGAUCAGCCACACUGGAACUGAGACACGGUCCAGACCCCUACGGGAGGCAGCAGUGGGGAAUCUUGGACAAUGGGCGAAAGCCUGAUCCAGCCAUACCGCGUGGGUGAAGAAGGCCUUCGGGUUGUAAAGCCCUUUUGUUGGGAAAGAAAAGCAGCAGGUUAAUACCCCGCUGUUCUGACGGUACCCAAAGAAUAAGCACCGGCUAACUUCGUG